AGUUUUAUAUAUAAAUAUUACACACACACACACACACACACACACACACACACAUAUAUAUAUAUAUAUAUAUAUAUAUCUCGCUUAAUUCAAGUUAAAGGAUCCAAGGGUUUAGGUACAUCCGUCAAACCAAAUAUAAUAUGUGUACAAGAAACAUGGUUGAAAUCGGAGUUAGAUUUUAUUAUUAAAGGAUAUUCAGCAAUAAGGAGAGAUAGAGAAAAUGGUAGAGGGGGAGGAUUAGUAACUUUUAUACAAAAUGGUUUAAGCUAUGAAAUUAUAAAUGUAAAUGAUAAGAAUGAAUCAAUUAUCAUAAGGAUAUGGACAAGUAAAGGUUCUAUAGAUGUAAUAAAUUAUUAUAAUCCUUGUGGGAAAAUAGAGGGAAGUAUUUUGGAAAAUAUUGUGGGAUCACCACUCAGUGAGGUAAUAUGGUGUGGGGAUUUUAAUGCACACAAUACAUUAUGGGGAAGUAACAGUACAGAUGCAAAUGGUUUAGCUUUAGAAGAAUAUAUUGAUGAUAAAUGCUUGGUAUGUCUUAACAAUGGUGAGGGAACACGGUUUAACAGCAUAAACAAUACAGAAUCAGUACUUGAUUUAACUUUUGUAUCCAGUGCAAUAGCAGGUAUUAGUACGUGGAGUGUAGAUAAGGAAACUACAAUAGGUAGUGAUCAUUUCCCUAUUCUAAUUAAAGUUGGAUCAGGGACGUGUCAAGAAAGGACUAAAAAUAUUCCAAGGUGGAAAAUAGAGAAAGCGAAUUGGGAACAGUUUCAGAUCAUUUGUGCAGUAAAAUGUCUUAAACUUAAAAAUGAGGAUAAAGAAAUAGGAAUAAAUGAGUUUAAUAGUGUAUUAGUAAAUGAAAUAAUAUUGUCAGCUGAGGAAACAAUACCUAAAAGUAAAGGAAAUAGGAAAGGUAAGAAUGUACCAUGGUGGAAUGAUGAGUGCAGUAAAGCAGUUAAAGCAAGAAACAAAGCUUUUAAAUAUGUUAAGAAAUAUCAUUCUCAGGAUGCUUUGAUAGAGUAUAAAAGAAAGCAGGCAGUAGUUAGGAAAACAGUUAAGACACAAAAACGCAAUUUCUGGAGGGAAUUUUGUAAUGAUAUAGGAAGGGAUGUGAAGUUAUCUGAUAUAUGGGGAAUGAUAAGGAGGAUGGGAGGAGUUAGAAGGAAUUAUGAAUUACCUGUAUUAAAUAGUGGUGAUAAAGUGGCAGUUACGAAUUUAGAAAAAGCUGAAGUUUUAGCUCAAACAUUUAGGAAAGUGCAUAGUUCUGAGAACCUCACUAAGGAAGCACAAGUGAAUAGAAGGAAAGUGUUAGAAAGUUUCCCAGAUAUUUUAAAAAAGAAAGGACAUUCAGGAAAUCCAUUAGAUGUACCGUUAAAUAUGUUUGAGUUGAAAAAAGCAGUCCUUAAUGCAAAACAGACUGCUCCAGGAAAAGACAUGGUAUGUUACAAAAUGGUAGCAAAUAUGACAGAUGAGACACUAGAAAUAGUACUAAAAUUUUUUAAUAAAAUUUGGGAAAUGGGUCAGCUUCCAUCAGUGUGGAAACAUGCAAUUAUAGUACCUAUUUUAAAGCCAGGGAAAAACCCGUCUGACCCGUCUAGUUAUAGACCAAUUGCCUUAACAUCGCAGUUGUGUAAAAUAAUGGAAAGAUUAAUUACAGAUAGAUUGACCCAUUAUUUAGAAAGUAAUGACCUUUUUUCCCCAUAUCAGAGUGGGUUGUACAUCCGUCCGAAACAUUGA
ensembl:lncRNA